GAGAGAGAGAGAGAGAUUAAAAAAAAGGUGUAUGUUUAGAAAUAAGUACAUUAUGGCUAAACAAAAGGUUGAAAUAUUAUAAUAUAUAAUUUUAUAUCCUUUUCAAAUUGAAAAAAAAGAUUGCUGACUUAAGUUACUCGGACACAGAAAAUUAUCGGUGCUUUCAACGUUAAUGUUUUCACAGACGUGAUGUUGUAACUGACAAUCCGAUUAAAAUGUCGGGAGCUUGCCUUAACGUCUUAUUUUCUGUUAUCGGAAAAAACCCUUUUGAUAGAACACCUUUUGAUUUGUUAAUUAAUCUACAACUAAACUUUAAACCAAUUAAAAAUGAGAAAAGAAAACAUUUAAUAUAAUGUUUUCAAAUAUAUGUGGAUGUGCUGUACAUGUAGUAAAUGACAACCACAUAUUUCCGGUGACUCGAGUGAUUUGUACUUCAGCUAUUUAUGUAGCAAUAAAUAACCAAAAAAUCACUCUUAUAUGAUAAAUUAUAGAUAAAUACAUGUACAAAAUUUUGAUAAAUUAAAUGCAAGCAUUGAACAAAAAAAAGUACACGCAAUCCAUAAAAUAACUUUCAACUUUAUUUCCCGCAUAGCUGGUAAUGUCGUCGUGAUUUCACAUGAACAAAAAUCACACGUGCGAUACAUGUUUAAGUGUACAGAAGCUGAUCAGAAACACAACAGCGUCUUUCAUCUUGGGUUCUAUACACAACAGGUGUUAUUGUCUUAUUUUGUUUUUUGGCAAUUAUUGUACUUUACAACUAAAUCUGUAUAUUUGGAUGCUUUAUUAACAGGUGUACACGAGAUGCCAGUAUUCACUCCUUUCCACGGACACCUGUUAGGAGGAUUUUCAUUUGUUUGCUGCCUUUGUCUUGGGAGGUGGAGGCACCAGGGCAAUGAGGUCAUUUUGUCCCUUUAUGAUGCUGACAGAGAGUCCCUAACCAUCUGAUCCAUCAUGAUAGGCAUUUUUCUUUAUGAUGCAGUACUUGCUGAGAGAGAGAGAGAGAGUCUCAUACUCGGAUGAGCACAGCGUAGAUAUAAAUCAAAAUCCCGGACUUGUGUUUCAUACACAAUGAUGUAUAAGUGGCUCAUCUUACAUCAAAUGGAAUGGAUCCAUGCCAGGAUUCACUUUUCCUUCCCAUGCUGGUUCCAGUCCAGUAAACUGUCACAGUCUGGGAAAUUCUGUCACUGGUGAUGCCGCAGAAAGAAAACACUAUGGGUAUGUAAUAUGAUCUUUAUUAGCAAUUACCGCCACAUAUAGAAUAGUAAACGAAUAGUACAAUUCACAGAGCAAUAAAGCAUGUCUUGUGUCUUCCAAGACAGGCAAAGGAAGGGCAAUGUAUAUGUCAUCUUGCGUGUAAGCAAGUUCAGGCGGUAACCAGGCAAUUUGUACCAACUAUCACCAGGACCACCACACUCCUCCCCAUUUUAAAAGAGGGCAUCCCAGCCCGAACAAUAGGGCAAACUAUAAUAAACAUACAAUAUCUAAAUCCUAAUAGCUUAGGACCUAAAACAUACAAAAUAAAACAUUUUACAUGUUUUUUUUUGGUCUUUAAAAAAUACUAACACAGAUUUCACAGUCAACAUCACAGUCCACAAACUUCACAGUCAGAUUCUAGCAUCUAAUUUGUCUUGGUCCAACCUCCUGCUUUUCCUGGCCCCUCCGACUUGUCUAGUUCCACCAUUUUCCCCAACACAUCAGGUAGUCCACAUAGUAUUCCCUUAGCACGAAGUCCAAAGAUGACAUCUACAACGAAGUCCAACGAUGACAUCCACCAAGAGAUUCAACGAUGACAUUAACUAUGAGGUACAAUUUUUAACGAUGACAUCCACCACUCUGUAUGACAUACAUCACUCCGUAUCUAGACACCAGACAUUUUUCCAAGAUGAAGGCACUUUGCAAAUUUUUGACAUAGUGUCCAAGACUCCGGCACUGCAAGUAAGGUAGGGACUACAAUGUACCAGAGUAGCAACAAGUAAGAUCCAUGUUCCUUAACAUUUUUAACCAGCUAAUGGGUACAUGGACUCCUUGUACAUCUUGGUACACUGGAUAUCUAAACACUCAUCUGCAAAUGCAGCCCAAGGUACAUACAAGCAUCUGGUACACUCUACCAAUGCUAAGACAAACAAAACAGUACACAGUACCCUGCAUCACCGUGGAGUACCUUUCCACAUCAUAAAACAUAACACUCAACUUGAGAAACCUACUAUCUCACGGACCAGGUAAAAACUCAGGGCAAACAAAUAUUUAAGCUUUGUCCUGGCCUUGUCAUCAGAAAUUCAAACAAACCUGGAAUGAGACCAGUCCUUGCCCUCUUCACACAAUAACAUCAAACUUUGGGAUUACCCUGAUUACACAAACAGUAAGUUUUCCUUUUCUGAUACUUAAACUUGUUAGUGCCCUUGCUAUCUUGCAACUUCACAGACUCACUGGUAACUGCUUGGUGAUUUCUAGCUCUACUCCUUGUCCCAAUGUAAGGCCCUCAGUCAAUAGUUUGACUUGAAGUAGUCUGUGAGACUGCAGUGUAUUCUGCCUUUUUCAAAACAGACUUCAAUGUCUUGACACUUUUCGGCACUGGUACAUGUGUGUUAUGCUCUGACUCACUGCUUGACUCUUCAUCAAUGACCUGCUUCUGAUAGUUAUAGAGCCACUGAGGUAUUUCUGUAGCAUCGCAUUUCUCAAUUUAUCAUGAUGCAUGGUCCGAACUUCUCUGCAUUACUUUACUAUGAACACAGUAUCUGACUUGGCCUUUACAAUUAUACCUGGACCCUUCCAGAUA